UGCGGAAUAGUUCAGUUGGUAGAAUGUAGGUCUCAUAAACCUAUGGUCGGCAGUUCGAGUCUGCCUUCCGCAACCA
rnacentral:tRNA from 1 species